UACGUAGGUGGCAAGCGUUGUCCGGAUUUAUUGGGUUUAAAGGGUGCGUAGGCGGCUUUGUAAGUCAGUGGUGAAAUAUGGCAGCUCAACUGUCAAGGUGCCAUUGAUACUGCGGAGCUUGAGUACAGAUGAGGUAGGCGGAAUUGACGGUGUAGCGGUGAAAUGCUUAGAUAUCGUCAAGAACACCGAUAGCGAAGGCAGCUUACUAGGCUGUAACUGACGCUGAGGCACGAAAGCGUGGGGAGCAAACAGG
rnacentral:rRNA from 1 species